rnacentral:rRNA from 1 species
AUUGAACGCUGGCGGAAUGCUUUACACAUGCAAGUCGAACGGCAGCACGGGGCAACCUGGUGGCGAGUGGCGAACGGGUGAGUAAUACAUCGGAACGUGCCCAAUCGUGGGGGAUAACGUAGCGAAAGUUACGCUAAUACCGCAUACGAUCUACGGAUGAAAGCGGGGGAUCGCAAGACCUCGCGCGAAUGGAGCGGCCGAUGUCAGAUGAGGUAGUUGGUGGGGUAAAGGCUCACCAAGCCGACGAUCUGUAGCUGGUCUGAGAGGACGACCAGCCACACUGGGACUGAGACACGGCCCAGACUCCUACGGGAGGCAGCAGUGGGGAAUUUGGACAAUGGGCGCAAGCCUGAUCCAGCCAUUCCGCGUGCAGGAUGAAGGCCUUCGGGUUGUAAACUGCUUUUGUACGGAACGAAACGGUGAGCUCUAAUACAGUUUGCUAAUGACGGUACCGUAAGAAUAAGCACUGGCUAACUACGUGCCAGCCGCCGCCGUAAUAC